ensembl:miRNA
GGUUGCCCAAAAAGUUCAUUUGGGUUUUUCCAUAACAUCUAAUGGAAAAACCCGAACAAACUUUUUGGCCCAAC